rnacentral:rRNA from 1 species
AUUGAACGCUGGCGGCAUGCCUUACACAUGCAAGUCGAACGGCAGCACGGGUGCUUGCGCCUGGUGGCGAGUGGCGAACGGGUGAGUAAUACAUCGGAACAUGUCCUGUAGUGGGGGAUAGCCCGGCGAAAGCCGGAUUAAUACCGCAUACGAUCUACGGAUGAAAGCGGGGGACCUUCGGGCCUCGCGCUAUAGGGUUGGCCGAUGGCUGAUUAGCUAGUUGGUGGGGUAAAGGCCUGCCAAGGCGACGAUCAGUAGCUGGUCUGAGAGGACGAACAGCCACACUGGGACUGAGACACGGCCCAGACUCCUACGGGAGGCAGCAGUGGGGAAUUUUGGACAAUGGGCGAAAGCCUGAUCCAGCAAUGCCGCGUGUGUGAAGAAGGCCUUCGGGUUGUAAAGCACUUUUGUCCGGAAAGAAAUCCUUGGCCCUAAUACGGUCGGGGGAUGACGGUACCGGAAGAAUAAGCACCGGCUAACUACGUG